AGCGAUACUGACGUGCAAAUCGUUCGUCUGACUUGGGAAUAGGGGCGAAAGACUAAUCGAACCAUCUAGUAGCGGAUUCCCUCCGAAGUUUCCCUCAGGAUAGCUGGAGCCCAUUACGAGUUCUAUCAGGUAAAGCCAAUGAUUAGAGGCAUUGGGGACGCAACGUCCUCGACCUAUUCUCAAACUUUAAAUAGGUAGGAUGGCUCGGCUG
rnacentral:ncRNA from 1 species